GGAGAGGUCGCAUAGUGGCCUAGUGCAGAGGUUUACUAAACCUCCAACCCGCAAGGGUUCGUGGGUUCAAAUCCCACCCUCUCCGCCU
rnacentral:tRNA from 2 species